CAUACCAAGAGAUAUUCAACUUGUCUAGGUUGUACCGAUAUCGAAUCCCGGAAGCGGAAUUUUUUGUUUUUUUUAUAGCCUUCCUUAUCGUGAUGUCCGUCGAACUCCAAUAAUCAACUUGGCUAAAUAGUUCGGUUUGUAGCCUUAAUUUAUGUACUCACAAUCGACCGUUGGAGAGUAGAGACAGAAACAAUGGUGAUCCUGAGAAAGAGAGAGAGAGACCGAACCCUAGAAACUCCAUCGAACUCCAAUAACCAGCGAUAAUGGCGAAACCCGGACACAGGCCAAGGAAACCCACAAGGUUUCAGGCUACGAGCGGUCCAGAGAGGAGAUAAUCAGAGAGAACCAUAAAUCUCGGCAUUGUCGAUCUCCCUGAAACUCAACUCUCUCAGUUCCCCUCAGCAUCUCUCUCCUCUGCCGCUGCCUUCUGGACCCCCUCACCACUCUUCCCGGAUUCUGCAACACCAGUUAGCUUCUCUGAAGCACCUUUGGCUAAGAAAGAUAAAUCUUUGGAUGGUGAAGUUGAUUUAAUAGGGGAGGGAUCCAGGCCAGAGGUUUACACAGAAGAACAUGAAAAGCUGCUGGGAAGCAUUGAGACUCUAUUUGUAGAUGGAUGGGACAAGGAUGGGAGGCGAAUUUAUGAUCAAGUCAACGGAAAAACUUGCCAUCAGUGCAGGCAGAAAACCCCUGGUCAUCGUACUCACUGCAGCAAAUGCAACUUGGUUCAAGGACAGUUUUGUGGAGAUUGUUUAUAUAUGAGGUGUCUGAAGAGAUCAUAUAUUAUUAUAUGAUCCAUAGUGCCAUACUUCCAGUAUAUUAUGUGGUAUUCAGUUUUCAAUCGCCAAGCAAUGCCAAUCCCCCCUUCACUUUUAUCACCUUCUGGAAUUUGCUAGAUUUUAUUAACUUUCUCAUCUUUAUUUUAUGUUGGUAAUCUUUACUCAGAUCCACCCUCAACUGCUAAUGAACAUAUUAUUUCUUGGUUGCCCUACUUUUAGGUUAUAUAAUCGUUUAAGCAACACUAUGAUGAUUUGGCUUGCCUGUGUUACUCGGACUAGGGUACGGAUGCGUAUCUAGGGAUCGGAUUUGUCAAUCUAUCAAAUUAUAGGAUACACGCAUUCGGCUAAAAAAUGUCCAAUAUUUCUUGGACGCAUCUAAGGAAAAAAAUUGUAUGAUUUUUUAUGCAUAAUUUUCUUUACAUAUAGAUAC